rnacentral:rRNA from 1 species
AUCCGGCUCUCUCUAAGGCUGAGACACGACGUCGAGCUGCUACGGCAGUGAAGUCAUUGAUGCCAUGCUUCCAGGAAAAGCCUCUAAGCUUCAGAUAGUCAGGAAUCGUACCCCAAACCGACACAGGUGGUCGGGUAGAGAAUACCAAGGCGCUUGAGAGAACUCGGGUGAAGGAACUAGGCAAAAUGGUACCGUAACUUCGGGAGAAGGUACGCUCUUGAUGGUGAAGUCCCUCGCGGAUGGAGCUGACGAGAGUCGCAGAUACCAGGUGGCUGCAACUGU